rnacentral:rRNA from 1 species
CGGCGAGGCGUUAACACAUGCAAGUCGAGGGGCAGCGAUGGGAGCGUAGCAAUACAUUCCCGAUGGCGACCGGCGCAAGGGUGCGUAACGCGUGAGCAACUGCCCGCAUCAGGGGCAUAAUCGGUGGAAAACGCCGUCUAAACUCCCCAUAACAUAGGAGGUGGCAUCGCCUUCUAUUGAAAUCCUUGGAGGAUGCGGAUGGGCUCGCGUGACAUUAGGCAGUUGGCGGGGUAACGGCCCACCAAACCGACGAUGUCUAGGGGAACUGAGAGGUUAAUCCCCCACACUGGAACUGAGACACGGUCCAGACUCCUACGGGAGGCAGCAGUGAGGAAUAUUGGACAAUGGAGGGAACUCUGAUCCAGCCAUGCCGCGUGCAGGAUAAGGUCCUUAAGUGGAUUGUAAACUGUCUUUUGUAUGAGAGCAAUAAGGAUUACGUGUAAUCCGAUGAGAGUAUCAUACGAAUAAGCAUCGGCUAACUCCGUGCCAGCCGCGGC